CUCUCUAGACUUUAGCGCGAAUUCAUUGAAUGUCAAGGUAAUUGCAAUAUUGGUGAUAUUAGCCUUUGGAUGAUAAGACUGAUUUCAAGAUUUGAGUUUUCUUGUGCAACCAUACGUGUUGAGUUUCGCCACAAGCGUUCAGCCAAUGCAACCGCUAAGGUGAUUUCAAUCGGACAGAAGGACAGACGAACGGAAGGAACAACAUACAUGUAAUUCGUUUACAUGUAUUGCAAUGGGAACGAGGAUGGAGCAGACAAUCUUGGAUGAUGUAUCCUCCCAGCAACCGAUUAACUUGAACGUUUUUUGUUUCAUGUUGUGGGAAUCCGUUAUUGUCAUUCAGUGACAUCUGGGAAGAAGCUCCUGUGAGAUCGACGGGAAAGCAACUGCGAAAAGUGAAAACAAUACAGAACUCAAUUUUCCAAAAGAUUGAAAUGCAGAUAGCAAAUCAAUAAAUAGUUCUUCAGUGUCCUGUUGUCAAAAGACGGAAAUAGCGCCUCUGUUAGUCGCCUAUUACAUGUACCGUCAUUUUAAACACUCAAUAUUCACAUAUAGAGGGAUUCAACCACUUGAUGGAGGAAUAAUGAACCAGGCAUAAACAUGUUAAAAUGUGAACUCUGAAGCCUUUUGGAGUACAACAAUAAUUUUGUCAAAUUUAGCCACUAAAACGUGUUAAGCAAACAGCUUUGGUCACUCUGAUAUGUUUUAUUUAUUGUGUCUCGUUUAGGAAAAUAUUUGAACGUGGACAAAAUGAAAAUGUAAACAGCCAUAAUAAAUCAAAUUAAAAAGAAAUGUAGCAACAGCAUUUCAGAAAUCCAAUUGAACAGUUAGGACCGAUUUUGUGUUCAAGGAAAAUGCAUUCAUUUAUACGUGAGGAACUAAUAUCUCCGUAUAAAUGUUGUCUUCAAAUGAUGUGUAUUAAUAUAAUUAGCUACAUCCUACGGUUGAAGAGAGCUCAGAACGUCGUCAGAAAGAAACGUGUUUACAAUAUUAACAUUUUAUUAGUAAAUCAAUACAAGUCUUUGAUUUAUGAGUUCCAUUCAUAUAAAAAAUAAUUUUAAUCAAAAUAUCUUGUAAGCGAGCAACCAUUAAUAUCCAUGAUCCUAUUAUAUUUGUGUUGUAACAGCACAAUUAAUUUUCCCCAUUCUUUAUGAAUUAUCACCCAAUAAUUUAUCAUGUCUGCAAUUAGAGCCCUCGUAAAUAAAACAAACCUUGAACUGUUUGAUGUUGGCUGGGAUUGGUUUUAAGGACAGUUAAAUUGUUGUAGGAUUCGUGUUUUUCUUUCUCAAAGCAGAUAUGAUACAAUGAAAGAUGAUUGUUGUUACGAGGUAUUUAUAACAAAGAAUCCAAUAUAGAAUUAAAUAAGAUGGUGCUAUGGAAUGCAAGGAUAGCUAAAUUGUUUUUGGAUGUAUUUUAUAUUCUUAAUUAAAAUAUGACUCAAUGACAGAUUAUAAGUGUUACGACAUGGUUUGAAACAAUGUCUGUCCAAUAUCGAAUUGGCUAGCUUAGAGCGACAUGGAAUGCCAGCUAAAAAUAUU